AUACCUUCCCUUUAGACUAAUUGAACCCGUACCUAGAAUCAUUUGGUUUCACAAACUUUUAAAACGGAGUUAACUUUAAAAUAAUUUUAGGUGUCCUAAUUCACAAUAAAUAAUUAGGUGGCGACUCCCUAACUUUAAUUAACCCCAGAAUUACUGGGAUGUUGUAAACUAUUUUUACUCGGUUAAAAUAGGGUAUAACAACAAGCACCGCACGUACUCGGCUCGAAGAUAACUGGCCUUCUCGGCAGCAGUCACGUCAGCCUUAUACUGGUUUAACAUAUCAUCAUAGCUCGAGAUCUGGUCAAGAGCCUUUCCAUGUUCAACCUGCAGAUCGGUGAUGACCCGACUCAGUCUAUCUUGCUCAGCUUCAGCCCCAGCAAGCGACGAGCUAAGUCCGUUUACUUAUUCCAUUGUCGCCCGAAGAUGCUCUCUGAGAACAUCCCGCUCGGCUACAGCACCGAUUGUCGUUUCAUUAAUAGCAUUAAGCUCGGGUUUGAUCCCAUCAAGCUCCGCCCAAAGUUGAUGGGCCUGAGAAGGAGGGGCAUUAGCAUCGGCUAUUAGAGAUUUAUUAUAAACUUCGAAAGCUCUUACCUUCUCUGCCAACUGGUUACGUUCCUGCUUAGCCUCGACAACUUCGUUUCGAGCCGCUGCCAAAUCCGACCUAAGGAUAGAAAGGUCAGGGAGAGACGAGAUAUACUCCAAUUUCUGCCCAUACAGAUCCAUGAGCUUGUCCACCUCCUGACUUUUCCUUUUGAGCUCCUCCUUGAGCCAAUCCACUUCAUUCCUGAGUCGGUGGAAGCUUGCAUAAUGAAGCACGGAGGCCUAUAAGGGAACGAGGAGCGGUUAUUAAAAUGAGGCUUGAAAUUAAAGCUAAGUGAAAAGGGCAUCGGAACAAGACUUGCCCGGUUCAACGCCUUCUGAGCCUCGUUGAAAAGGCACGAUUCGCUAACUUCAGCCAUUUUCUUACAGUCCUCUUGGGACACCAGAGGGUACAGAUAGUGUUAUAUCCCGUAUUUUUGAACGUCAGAUUAUUUGCUGAGGUGGGGCCCACACAUCGAGAUUUUUUUGGGACAUCUGAAAAGUCAUAUGAAUCACAUAUGUGAAGUUAAACACAACUCAAGAAGGACCCUUGGGCCAAAUCAAAGUGGAAGUCCUCCAAACGAAUAUUUUUAAGAAAACGUUUUCGGGUGAUCUGACUUCUAGGGGCAAAAACGGAAUUAUAAGUUUGGAAUUUGGAAAAUAUCAAGAAAUAGAAGUUGUAGAUAAUUGAAUUAGCUUUCCAACCAUAGGUCGUGGGUUCCCAGGUGACAUCGGUACAAGGAGAUAUGGACGUUUUAAGGUCGAAAGGUCAGUGGGCUAGGCCCAACUCGGGAUCAACCGAGUUGGCCCAAAAAAAUAAAAAACGAAUUAAGGCCCAAAGGAGAGGGGUGGCCGGCCAUCUUAUGGCCCAAGCCCACAAAAUUAAUAAAUUUCCCAUGUGAUAAUUAAUAUAAAGGAUCAUUAAAUUGUCUUGAAACAUUUAGAAGUUUCAAGACAAUUGAGAAAGAGAGAAACAAGAGAAAGAAGAGCAAGAACAAGAAGGCCAUUUUCGGCCAAGCUCUAGACCAAAAAAAAAAAAAAAAUUCAAAAAUCAUUUUCUACCAAUUAAAGGGUCCUUUACAACUUGGUGUAAUUAUUUUGGAAGAAAGAACACUUGUUUCUUCAAGUUGACAACUUGGUCAAGUGAAGAAGAUUGUAGAAAAAGAUUUUGGCGAACUUGAAACUUGAUUUUGGAGACGUGUAUGAAUCGGAAAAGGUCAACAGGUAGACAGAUUUGACUCUUAGAAGCUCCAUCAGCAGUACUGUGGCAGCGCUCCAGUUGUUCCGGAGCCUCAGUUUCUUGGUACUACUUUUGUGUACAUAUUCGGGCACGGUAGAACCGGUCCUUCUUGUAUAUGUAGAUGUACUUUGUUUAGAGGCUCGUAGACAGAUAUGUACAGUCAGAUGUUUUGUACUUUUGUGGUCCUCGUCGUUGUAUAAUGUGCUAGCAAAGUUUAUAAGUCCAUGUCUACAAUUAUGCCAUUAAUGUUAGCGUUAAGCAACAGAAAAAAAAAAGGAUACGGUAUAGUCUAUACGGCCCACCUAGUAGUAAAAGUACGAUACGAGAUAAGGGGUGCUCGGUACAAGUAUCGGGUACCCGUCGCGGCCCCUAGUUGGGUCGUGACAGAAGUGGUAUCAGAGC